CACGGGGGGGGGUGCUAAUACAUGCAGUAGAACGCUGAAGAGAGGAGCUUGCUCUUCUUGGAUGAGUUGCGAACGGGUGAGUAACGCGUAGGUAACCUGCCUUGUAGCGGGGGAUAACUAUUGGAAACGAUAGCUAAUACCGCAUAACAAUGGAUGACACAUGUCAUUUAUUUGAAAGGGGCAAUUGCUCCACUACAAGAUGGACCUGCGUUGUAUUAGCUAGUAGGUGAGGUAACGGCUCACCUAGGCGACGAUACAUAGCCGACCUGAGAGGGUGAUCGGCCACACUGGGACUGAGACACGGCCCAGACUCCUACGGGAGGCAGCAGUAGGGAAUCUUCGGCAAUGGGGGCAACCCUGACCGAGCAACGCCGCGUGAGUGAAGAAGGUUUUCGGAUCGUAAAGCUCUGUUGUAAGUCAAGAACGAGUGUGAGAGUGGAAAGUUCACACUGUGACGGUAGCUUACCAGAAAGGGACGGCUAACUACGUGCCAGCAGCCGCGGUAAUACGUAGGUCCCGAGCGUUGUCCGGAUUUAUUGGGCGUAAAGCGAGCGCAGGCGGUUUGAUAAGUCUGAAGUUAAAGGCUGUGGCUCAACCAUAGUUCGCUUUGGAAACUGUCAAACUUGAGUGCAGAAGGGGAGAGUGGAAUUCCAUGUGUAGCGGUGAAAUGCGUAGAUAUAUGGAGGAACACCGGUGGCGAAAGCGGCUCUCUGGUCUGUAACUGACGCUGAGGCUCGAAAGCGUGGGGAGCGAACAGGAUUAGAUACCCUGGUAGUCCACGCCGUAAACGAUGAGUGCUAGGUGUUGGAUCCUUUCCGGGAUUCAGUGCCGCAGCUAACGCAUUAAGCACUCCGCCUGGGGAGUACGACCGCAAGGUUGAAACUCAAAGGAAUUGACGGGGGCCCGCACAAGCGGUGGAGCAUGUGGUUUAAUUCGAAGCAACGCGAAGAACCUUACCAGGUCUUGACAUCCCGAUGCUAUUUCUAGAGAUAGAAAGUUACUUCGGUACAUCGGUGACAGGUGGUGCAUGGUUGUCGUCAGCUCGUGUCGUGAGAUGUUGGGUUAAGUCCCGCAACGAGCGCAACCCCUAUUGUUAGUUGCCAUCAUUCAGUUGGGCACUCUAGCGAGACUGCCGGUAAUAAACCGGAGGAAGGUGGGGAUGACGUCAAAUCAUCAUGCCCCUUAUGACCUGGGCUACACACGUGCUACAAUGGUUGGUACAACGAGUUGCGAGUCGGUGACGGCAAGCUAAUCUCUUAAAGCCAAUCUCAGUUCGGAUUGUAGGCUGCAACUCGCCUACAUGAAGUCGGAAUCGCUAGUAAUCGCGGAUCAGCACGCCGCGGUGAAUACGUUCCCGGGCCUUGUACACACCGCCCGUCACACCACGAGAGUUUGUAACACCCGAAGUCGGUGAGGUAACCUUUUGGAGCCAGCCGCCUAAGGUGAUAGAUGGG
rnacentral:rRNA from 1 species